AGAGUUUGAUCAUGGCUCAGGACGAACGCUGGCGGCGUGCUUAACACAUGCAAGUCGAGCGAGGUUACUGUUUUGGAUCCCUUCGGGGUGAAGAAGCUUUAACCUAGCGGCGGACGGGUGAGUAACGCGUGGGUAACCUACCCCAAAGUCCGGGAUAACAGCGGGAAACCGCUGCUAAUACCGGAUGCCUUUACCUUGGGGCAUCUUGAGGUAAAGAAAGGUAACGCUUUGGGAUGGGCCCGCGUCCCAUUAGCUAGUUGGUGAGGUAACGGCUCACCAAGGCGACGAUGGGUAGCCGGCCUGAGAGGGUGGACGGCCACACUGGGACUGAGACACGGCCCAGACUCCUACGGGAGGCAGCAGUAGGGAAUAUUGCGCAAUGGACGGAAGUCUGACGCAGCGACGCCGCGUGAGCGAUGAAGGUCUUCGGAUCGUAAAGCUCUGUCCUUGGGGAAGAAGGCGAAAGCUUGACGGUACCCAAGAAGAAAGCCCCGGCUAACUACGUGCCAGCAGCCGCGGUAAUACGUAGGGGGCGAGCGUUGUCCGGAAUUACUGGGCGUAAAGGGUGCGUAGGCGGCCCUUUAAGUCGGAUGUGAAAGCCCGCGGCUUAACCGCGGAAUGGCAUUCGAAACUGGAGGGCUUGAGUGUCGGAGAGGGUAGUGGAAUUCCCAGUGUAGCGGUGAAAUGCGUAGAUAUUGGGAGGAACACCAGUGGCGAAGGCGGCUCUCUGGACUGUAACUGACGCUGAGGCGCGAAAGCUGGGGGAGCAAACAGGAUUAGAUACCCUGGUAGUCCCAGCCGUAAACGAUGAACACUAGGUGUAGGGGGUAUCGACCCCUCCUGUGCCGCAGUUAACGCAGUAAGUGUUCCGCCUGGGGAGUACGGCCGCAAGGCUGAAACUCAAAGGAAUUGACGG
rnacentral:rRNA from 1 species